rnacentral:miRNA from 1 species
AUAGGAGUCACCUAGGAAUAUUGUUAAAAUGCAAAUCAUGAUUCAGGUCAAGGAGGGCCUUGAGAGUCUGCAUUUCUAACAAGCUCUCAGGCAAUGCCUUG